CUAAACCUAUAAAAAUAUCUCAUAGCGUCCAACACAUAGGCAUACGCAACAUAGAGGUACAUACAUAAGCCUUGUCUAUAUUUUUUGCCUCAAUUAAUCCUGUGUCGAAUCUUCUACGCGUCUAUUGUCACACUAUGAUCCGGGUCCGAUAUGGAAAUCAAGUACUAUUAACUGUUAAUGCGACAUUGUGUAUAACAUUUUUUUACAUCCUAUUAUAUGCAGCGUGUUGAAGACGGUCUGAGGAUCAUUAGUUUUUCCAAUCACGGACGGGACGCUGCCGGCCCUCGAACUCCGUAUAUAAGCUGGACCGCGAGAGGAGAUGUUAUGAUAUCUACCGUCGCAUCCAUCGGCUACAGUCCUGUCUAGUCUCUACUAGAUUUUGUUUGGUGCUGUGUCUUUGAGGAGAAUCGGAAAAUAUUCAUCAUGUUCAAGCUGUUGAUGCUGGUCGCUCUCGCCUUGGUGCUGUUGGUGAGCCCUGCAGUGGCGAAACCUCAAGUGCUGGUGGACUACGGCUACUACCCUUAUGCGUACAGCGCGCCACUCGCCUACUCAUAUUCCUAUCCCUACGCCUACGCCUACAGUUAUCCGCUGGCCUAUUACUAGCAGCACUCAUUGUACCACCCCUACCCACCAAAGUGAGUGACGUCUAUUCUCCCGAUGUAACGUCCGUAUGAAGAUAAUAAUAAUAAAGGAACCUUAUUUACUUACUCGUAUAUUUCACACGAUUCGUAAAACGUUCUCGUUAGUAUUCCGUGACUGUCAGGAUUUGGAAUAUAAUGUGAUUUACAAGUUGAAUCGUCCAUAAUUUUAAAUGUUUUUGUCACAUAUAUUUACUUCGCUAUUCUGAUCCUUUGCAUAGUCACGAGGUAUCGGUAGAUGUUGCAAAAUUAUAUUGUUUUGUUGUGAAAAUGUGAUAAUAUUAGGUUUAAAAGUUAUGAUGUAAACCCGAGGUAUUUAUAUAUGAAUAAAUGCAUAUCUACAAAAA